UGGGGAAUAUUGCACAAUGGGCGCAAGCCUGAUGCAGCGACGCCGCGUGAGGGAUGACGGCCUUCGGGUUGUAAACCUCUUUCAAUAGGGACGAAGCGCAAGUGACGGUACCUAUAGAAGAAGGACCGGCCAACUACGUGCCAGCAGCCGCGGUAAUACGUAGGGUCCGAGCGUUGUCCGGAAUUACUGGGCGUAAAGAGCUCGUAGGUGGUUUGUCGCGUUGUUCGUGAAAACUCACAGCUUAACUGUGGGCGUGCGGGCGAUACGGGCAGACUAGAGUACUGCAGGGGAGACUGGAAUUCCUGGUGUAGCGGUGGAAUGCGCAGAUAUCAGGAGGAACACCGGUGGCGAAGGCGGGUCUCUGGGCAGUAACUGACGCUGAGGAGCGAAAGCGUGGGGAGCGAACAGGAUUAGAUACCCUGGUAGUCCACGCCGUAAACGGUGGGUACUAGGUGUGGGUUUCCUUCCUUGGGAUCCGUGCCGUAGCUAACGCAUUAAGUACCCCGCCUGGGGAGUACGGCCGCAAGGCUAAAACUCAAAUGAAUUGACGGGGGUCAUAGCUGUUUUCCU
rnacentral:rRNA from 1 species